AUUGAACGCUGGCGGCAGGCCUAACACAUGCAAGUCGAACGAGUGGCGGACGGGUGAGUAAUGUCUGGGAAACUGCCCGAUGGAGGGGGAUAACUACUGGAAACGGUAGCUAAUACCGCAUACCAUCGGAUGUGCCCAGAUGGGAUUAGCUUGUAGGUGAGGUAACGGCUCACCUAGGCGACGAUCCCUAGCUGGUCUGAGAGGAUGACCAGCCACACUGUAACUGAGAGACGGUGCAGACUCCGACGGUAGGCAGCAGUGGGGAAUAGGGCACAAGGGGAGCAAGCCUGAUGCAGUCAGGCCGCGUGUAUGAAGAAGGCGUUCGGGUUGGAAAGUACGUUCAGCGGGGAGGCGUUACCCGCAGAAGAAGCACCGGCUAACUCCGUGCCAGCAGCCGCGGUAAUAC
rnacentral:rRNA from 1 species